rnacentral:lncRNA from 1 species
AUACAAAAUCUGAGACACUUAUUAUGGAUCAGAGAGAGUACCUAAAUUUUUGACGGGAAGGUUAUAUCUUGGUUCAAAGAAAUGAAAUGGGAGAUGAGUCCUUAAAAGGUUGGGGAAAACGUUGACUUCAGUUUUCUCCUUAUUUUUUUGACCGUACGCAGUGCCUCGCUUCGAGGCCAACCUCCAAAUCUUAAGUUAAGUAAAACGUUUGAACUAGCAAGUCCCUAGUGACCCAGGAACAAGACAUAAGUGGAUCCUGCAUGUCUCCCUACUUAGUACCGGUUUUGCCUGGAAUUGGUGUCAAUAUCCCCGCAACAUGAAAUUUAAGGAUCGAGAUUUUCUCAUUGUGAAAGUUCAGAUAGAAGUACUACACUCAACCAACAGUUGAAAGAAAAAAAAAAAGCAUCUUUUUCUAUCCAUAUUACUCUAGUUACGUUCCGAUUGCGGGCAUCAAUAUCGAGUUUCAUGCUCAGUAGUUAAACCUAAUCCUUUCAACCUUUCCCUCGUUCUCUCAAUUUCUGGAAAUGUUGAUCUUUGUAUUUUCAUUAUGUUUCAUAAUGGAUUGGGGCGAGGCCCUGAUUGAAAAAAAUUCUAAAUUGUUGUCCUACUGCAAUAUGGGAGAAAUAGCUCUCUUUUUUAGACU